GUAUUAUGAUGAAAUCCAUGCGUGUCAACUGAGUUUGGAAGUCCCUGAGGGUUCUGUUGCCUCGAUCAGCGUUCUGCAGGUCGGCGUGUCCAGAACAACAGGGUUCCAGACCAAUGAUCAGAGACUUUACUGCCUGAAUAC